rnacentral:rRNA from 1 species
CAAGCGGUGGAGCAUGUGGUUCAAUUCGACGCAACGCGAAGAACCUUACCUGGGCUCGAAGCACAGUGGACCGGGGUAGAAAUAUCCCUUUUCGCAAGAACUGCUGUGGAGGUGCUGCAUGGCUGUCGUCAGCUCGUGUCGUGAGAUGUUGGGUUAAGUCCCGCAACGAGCGCAACCCUUAUCGUUAGUUGCCAGCGAGUCAAGUCGGGCACUCUAGCGAAACCGCCUCGGAUAACGGGGAGGAAGGUGGGGAUGACGUCAAGUCCUCAUGGCCUUUAUGUCCAGGGCUACACACGUGCUACAAUGGACGGUACAAACCGCUGCAAACCCGCGAGGGGGAGCUAAUCGGAAAAAACCGUUCUCAGUUCGGAUCGCAGGCUGCAACUCGCCUGCGUGAAGCUGGAAUCGCUAGUAAUGGUGUAUCAGAACGAUACCGUGAAUACGUUCCCGGGCCUUGUACACACC